GCGUAACACGUGGGUAAUCUACCGUAAAGUUCGGAAUAACUCCGAGAAAUCGAAGCUAAUACCGAAUGUGAUCUGACAGGGACAUCCCUGUUUCAUUAAAGCUGGGGACCUUCGGGCCUGGCGCUUUAUGAUGAGCCCGCGGCCUAUCAGCUUGUUGGUAAGGUAACGGCUUACCAAGGCUAAGACGGGUAGCCGGUCUGAGAGGACGAUCGGCCACACUGGAACUGAGACACGGUCCAG
rnacentral:rRNA from 1 species